rnacentral:siRNA from 1 species
AGUGAGGUUGUGUGGCACUAC